GGCCGCGGGAAUUCGAUUCAGGCCUAACACAUGCAAGUCGAACGGUAACGCGGGGCAACCUGGCGACGAGUGGCGAACGGGUGAGUAAAGCAUCGGAACGUGCCCAAUCGUGGGGGAUAGCGUAGAGAAAUUUACGCUAGUACCGCAUGAGAUCUAAGGAUGAAAGCAGGGGAUCGCAAGACCUUGCGCGAUUGGAGCGGCUGAUGUCAGAUUAGGUAGUUGGUGGGGUAAAGGCCUACCAAGCCGACGAUCUGUAGCUGGUUUGAGAGAACGACCAGCCACACUGGGACUGAGACACGGCCCAGACUCCUACGGGAGGCAGCAGUGGGGAAUUUUGGACAAUGGGCGCAAGCCUGAUCCAUCAAAGGCGCGUGCAGGAAGAAGGCCUUCGGGUGUAACCUUAAAGGGACGGAACGAAACGGCUCUGGUUAAUACCCGGGG
rnacentral:rRNA from 1 species